rnacentral:rRNA from 1 species
CCAACCCUUGAGAGUGGCGAACGGGUGAGUAAUAUAUACGGAACGUCGCCCAGUCGGUGGGGGAUAACGUAGCGAAAGUUACGCUAAUACCGCAUACGAUCUAAGGAUGAAAGCGGGGGAUCGCAAGACCUCGCGCGAUUGGAGCGGCCGAUAUCAGAUUAGGUAGUUGGUGAGGUAAAGGCUCACCAAGCCGACGAUCUGUAGCUGGUCUGAGAGGACGACCAGCCACACUGGGACUGAGACACGGCCCAGACUCCUACGGGAGGCAGCAGUGGGGGAAUUUUUGGACAAUGGGCGCAAGCCUGAUCCAGCAAUGCCGCGUGCAGGAUGAAGGCCUUCGGGUUGUAAACUGCUUUUGUACGGAACGAAACGGUGAGCUCUAAUACAGUUUGCUAAUGACGGUACCGUAAGAAUAAGCACCGGCUAACUACGUG